AAAUUGAAGAGUUUGAUCAUGGCUCAGAUUGAACGCUGGCGGCAGGCCUAACACAUGCAAGUCGAACGGUAACAGGAAGCAGCUUGCUGCUUUGCUGACGAGUGGCGGACGGGUGAGUAAUGUCUGGGAAACUGCCUGAUGGAGGGGGGUAACUACUGGAAACGGUGGCUAAUACCGCAUAACGUCGCAAGACCAAAGAGGGGGACCUUCGGGCCUCUUGCCAUCAGAUGUGCCCAGAUGGGAUUAGCU
rnacentral:rRNA from 2 species